rnacentral:lncRNA from 1 species
GGAUUUUUCCUUUUGGGAGCCCCUCUCUCUCACAGGGAGAGAGCUGUUCUCCUUUCUCUUUCUUCUUCCUAUUAAACCUCCACUCCUAAACUCACUCCUCUUGGGUGUCUAUAUCCUUAAUCUUCUUAGCGAGAGACGACAAACCCGGGGUAUUUACCCCAGACAACUACCCCGCUUCAUAUUGGGAAUCUCAGCCGGGAUCCCAAGAAAAUACUUGUCUCUUAUUUGUUGCUGACUCAAAGGUCUGAUCCCCUGCCUGGAAGCUAACCUUGGCUAGAUUCCCAGAAUUGUGUCUUCUAUUCCCACAACCAACCUUUUUCAAAGACUUCAGAAGACUGAUCAACAUUUUUGCCUAUGUUGAAUGACUCACAGAAGCACACACUAUAUAGUAUAGUGAUUUUAUGGCCUUUCUUCUAAACCCAGACUUGCUUAGUUAUGUAUUCUUUAAUGGGCCAAGAGUGCUACAACUUCCACUAUGCUCUACCUGCAGCCACAGGCUCAGAUUUCUAUCAAUAAUUAAAUUUAUUAAAUGUAAUAGCCUUUAGCAAGCACCAAGUUUAGUUAGCUAAAGCUUAAAGAAAAGAACAGCCUACACAGUAUCCACAGCCAGACUAUAGUGGAAAUAUGUGAUCCCUAGACUCAGCUUCUGGUGUCCCAGUCAUUUUAUGCUAAGGAAUGAGGUUGAAUAUGUGCAGACAACCUCAGCUCAGGGAAGCCAAUAAGCUCUAGGGUCCCUUUAGCCUUUAAUAACAAGAUAAUCACAUAGCCCUUCGAAUAUAUAUGACUGGGAGUCCAUGACCGGCUUCCUUCUACAAAUGCAGUUGUGUGUCAUCAAAGCUGGUUUUUCCUUAUUUAAUAGACAAUGUUGACAGUG